rnacentral:rRNA from 1 species
GACGAACGCUGGCGGCGUGCUUAACACAUGCAAGUCGAACGAAGUGGCGAACGGGUGAGUAACGCGUAAUCAACCUGCCCUUCAGAGGGGGACAACAGUUGGAAACGACUGCUAAUACCGAAUACUGCAGGUGGGGAUUGCGUCUGAUUAGCUAGUUGGAGGGGUAACGGCCCACCAAGGCGAUGAUCAGUAGGCGGUCUGGGAGGAUGGACAGGCACAUUGGGAAUGUGACGAGUCCCAGACUCCUACGGGAGGCAGCAGUGGGGAAUCUUCCGGAAUGGACGAAAGUCUGACGGGGCAAAGCCGCGUGAGUUGUGACGGGCUUCGGGUUGUAAAGCUCUGUUAAUCGGGACGCGGUACCGGAAUAGAAAGCCACGGCUAACUACGUGCCAGCAGCCGCGGUAAUUC